rnacentral:rRNA from 1 species
CCCUUAGAUGUUCUGGGCCGCACGCGCGCUACACUGAUGCAUUCAACGAGCCUAUCCUUGACCGACAGGUCCGGGUAAUCUUUGAAUCUGCAUCGUGACGGGGAUAGAUUAUUGCAAUUAUUAAUCUUCAACGAGGAAUGCCUAGUAGGCGCAAGUCAUCAGCUUGCGUCGAUUACGUCCCUGCCCUUUGUACACACCGCCCGUCGCUCCUACCGAUUGGGUGUGCUGGUGAAAUGUUAGGAUCGGCCGUUUGUCGCGGUUUCCGCGGCUCGUGGCUGAGAAGUUCAUUAAACCCUCCCACCGAGAGGAAGGAGAAGUCGUAACA